AAUACGUCACAAGAAAAUAAGCACUGACCCUUAUAACUCCUAAGCCACGCACAGGACGGAUCGCGAAUUACAACGAUUCUUAACGAUCAAUUAAUUCGUUAUACUAGCCGCAACGUAAUUCCUAUUCAGCAUUAGUCUGAGGUCUGUGAUAAUAGAAAUCACUGUCGCUCAUAAAGACUGUCAUACUGUAAUAUCGUUAUACCCCGUAUCGCGGAGCGAAGGAACUUUCAUAAGAUAAUACCUCAUUGUUGUUAUUCGAUACGUCAUUAAUAUUAAACACCAGACUGUUGGGUUGAUCUUUCGGUGAUCGAGUCUCAGUCUUAAUAUGAAUCAGUUUGUAAAAAUACGACUGUUGACCCAUUCUUCUAUUUAUUUGUUUUUCAUUAUCAUUGAUGCAUAUUCGUACACAUUACCAUGCAUGCAGUUAACUCCAAGACGAAGAAUUCUUGAUAACCCAAAGACUUUGCUAUAAUUUAUCUAAUGCUACGAUAGAGGUCAUUCCACAGUGACUUCUGAUAGAAGAGACGAUGAUAGUAUUUACAGUGAUAUUUGUUACCUAUUUUGAUGGCCCUAUGACACUUUACGUAAUGAUGAUCUUAUAGGGCCAUCGAAAGUCCGAUUGUAGAUAAGAAUGAUGUGAAAUUUACAUAUAAUGUUCAUAAAGCACUGUAUGUAGACUGUGAAUAAAGCAACUGGGAAAUAUUUUUUUCGUAAUGGUUUAUAUCGAAAAUCGUAAAUAAAUUAAUAAAAUUCCAGCUUCCAUGUACCGGUUUCAAUAGACGAACUAUUCGUGGGGUACGGUGGUUGGUAUACCUAACUCGCAUAUAAAGUGCCAUUUAAUUAGACCAUUUGGAGGGACAUCACGUAUGUCUAUCCUUGUGAAAUAUUAUCGUCGUGGCGAUUCUACUAGAUCGCCAUCGUGACACAACAAAGUGAAGCAGAACUCGCCAGCAGAUCCUGAUGAAUUAAUUCAGCGAAUCGAGAAAGGCAACUUGCUGGCUCCACGGUCGUUCCUCGGAAACAACAGCGCGGAGAUUCGAUUUUUUUUGCAAACACGGACUGACUCAGCCAUGGGGUCCUGCGCCUACAUACGCGAUCCUUAAAGCAUUGUGAAUGAUCAAAGACUCGGGGACCUUGAUCGGACGAUUUAUGACGUCUGCGAUCUUCAUCCAAGAUACAAAAGACUAUAUAGAAAUAAUGCAGCCCGUGUUGUCUGAAUAGAAAACAAAAUUGAGUGACGCGCAAACGGUAUAUCGUUAAGUUUUUAUAGUUACCAAAUUGCCCAUUUCUUUCCUUCUAAGAAACCUAUUUAACGAUGUUAUAAUUCGUAAUAAUCAAGGCAAGUCUCGGGAGCCGGUUUACCCGGACAAAGAAAACUUCUUCAGACUCAGCGUCGGCAAAAGAGCCGCUGACCUCGUGGCCCAAGAAAAAUAUACGCGAGUCUCGUUGAAGUUCCCUCCAGUUACACGAACCGUGUGCCGUGCAUACGUUAGGUAUAUGCGUAGAGCUGGAUUCAGGUUAUAUAUAGCAAUAUAUAAUACAGGACAAAACUCAUUGGAAGCCGCCAUCUUGGCUUUCGAUAACGAAACGUAACCGAUUGCAUUGAAGAGCCUUGAGUAAUCUUCCACGAAUCCCAAUGGAAUACGAAUGGAUUGCGGAAGCACCUAUAGCAUCGUUGUAGUAGCUAAACUUUUCCGCACAAGCGACGUUUCUUGUACAGGUAUACUAUAGUGUUAAGCUACUCUUACAGAAGAUGGAUGUCAAUAACGAACUCAAAGAACUGCCUGUGAUAGUUGUCAGUUUCUGUGCUACCUAUACCUAUCUUGUUGUUUGAAAAAUGAUCGUACGUGAUAUUCAUAUUAUACGCCAAUAAUUGUAUCUAUAUGGUGUCUGACGCAUGUACAUAAAUCGUUACGAUAUUCAAAUGUGAAUUCGUGCCUAGGGAUGAACGAGUAGACUAGGGAUGAAUGUCAAUUUUUUUAUGUGGAAUUCAAAAUGUGUCCAAUGACGUCAAAGUACAGCGACUCGGUUUCCUUUGCCUUGUAGGCACUUUAGAAAUUGUAUGAUUAAAGCUGUUUCUUUGCAGUACUAACAAUGCAUACGCAUGAAAGGUGAACUACCGCGAUAGCCUUUGGGUAUCAUUCUUCCUGAUUCCCAGUGACUACAAAUGCAUUGUAUAAAUAUACAUAGUAACAAAAAAAAAAUUAUGGAAAUUUCAGUUAAAUGUUGUCACAGGUACGUGUGUGGAUUGCGAAUUUUUUUAAAACUUAUCUAUUAAUUAAAUUAUACACACUUUAUCAUCAUCUACUAGGACUCAUUCGUAUAGACGAUUUUGAAUUUUUUUCUAACGAUAUUUAUUUCCAGUUACUAAAAUAUGAAUAAGAAACGAAGAUCAAGCUUUUUAAGCAAUUUUACUUAAUCACAAUCGGAAAUAAAAUGUAUGUACUGGGAGAAGCAGUCAGUUAUCGACCGGUAGUGAACGUGAUUACUCAUAACUUGUAAAUAAGUGUAAUAAUGUAUGCGGAUAAAGUUCGUUGUCCCACGAGGGCAGAAUGAUUGUAACGGAAUGCACACAAAGAGCGUGAAAGCUCUAUUGUUAUACGAUGCGUACUUCAAGGUGACUGCAGCAUGAUAAUUAUCGCAUUACGAUGUAUUUUAAUGAAUUUCACGGACGUACAAUUAUAAAUGCAUUAAUGUACAUUUUUUUUCAAAAACAAAUGUCGAGACAUUAACAUACGUUUAUUUUUGAAAUAUUUCAAUGACCUCAUAAGGCUAUCAGUAAGCUUUACGAAUUUGGUCUCGUUUUUCGGAUAACUAACGAUUUUUUCUUCAGCGUGACGGCAAUACUAGUGGCUAAUUAUUAUUAUAUGUAUAUGUAUAUGACGCUUGUGCGUACGUCAUGAAACAAUAUAAUAAUAAUUAAAUAUCCUGGUGACACGUUAUAUUGGAUGGCAAUCAAAGUUUGGCACUGAGACGCAGUUCCGUUUAGUCGAUCCUAAAUUGGAUUAAACAGCUAUUAACAUUUCAAACGAUAUGGUUCGAAAGUCACAUGAUUUCGGUCACGUAUCUUUUCUUUUUUAUGGUUUCACGAUCUUUCUUUAUCUUCGCGCGUAUACUUUGUAAAUAAGAGCGAGUCGUGAGUCACGUGUUCUCGCUGCCAUGUCCAAAUGCCAGGGGCACUGAGAAAGUAUUUUCAAGAAUCCGAGAGGUAACGAAUACAUUGCCAGAUAUUCAAGGAACAGCCGAUAGUAAAGUACUGAAGCAGUGUUAGAGCUUAAAUGGGAACACUACUAUGCUAUCGAUGAAAUUAAGUAGCGCUGAAAAAAUGUACCCAAGUUUUUAAAUAUGAAAUAGUCUUCGUUGCUUGGGAAAAUUUUACAUAUUUUUUGUGUCCACAAAUUUCGUAAUUUCAAUACGAAAUGCACGCUGUGUUACAAUAUUACUUUACAUCUAAAAGCCGUUUAUCAUUUGACAUAAAAACGAGUCUGCAAAUGAGACCAGAAUUAUUCUAAAAAAUUCCAAUAUCAUUUCCUUGAUUGUGGAUUCUUAUUUCUUGUGCAAUUUUGAAUUUAAUCAUUCACACUGAGGAAUCUAUCAUUAGCAUAGCACGUUAACUAAUAAUUCAUUACAACUUUAGUAUUACGGUAAUAAUAUAAGAAUCGCUAUUAUUUAUUACGCACUAUCAGAUGCGUAUAAUCCGUGCCUUACGCACUUAAGAUAAAAAGAUUAAGGGAAGUGCACAAAGCAUACGACUACAAUACGAGUAAGAUUACCUGCUGCAAUUAUAAGUUUUACUAUUAUCGAUCAACUAUUUUGUAAAUCAUAAAUUUUUAUGAAUACCAUAAAACUGUAACCUUUUUCUUCUAUAAGAUUGACUUUUAGAUUCUGAUGACCCGUCACUAGAUUUUUGGGCCAAGGUUGUACUGACCCCUGUCGUAUUAAAAUUCCGCGGUGUUAAUGGAUCAAUCAGUUCUCAAAAAAUUAAGUUCACGCCUUAUUUAUAAAUCAUACGUUUAAACACGUUUCAUGUGUGGGAAUUGGCAUUGAGUAAUUUAUCAAUUGACGUAUAUUCAUAUGGCUGAUAUAGCGCCUCGAGGAACAUAUGUACUUGAACGUGGCUUACAUUCGGUUAUUUAUUUAAAGAAUAUUUCACAUAUCGUAGUAUCAUUCUCCAUUGAUCAUGUUGUAAUGAUUGUUAAUUAUAUACGAAUUGGCAAUUAUCGACAUAAUAAGACAAUCGCAUAUGCUCAUCGAAUGUUCGUUCAGUCGUUAUGGCCAAUUUAUCAUUUGUAUUUAUUACUAGUUACAUACAAUGACAUAAAGAUACACGUGCUUCGUAACAUCACUUCAGUAUGGUUCGAUGGGAAGUUAAAACUAUCAUUUCCUAGCAUUUCUUACCAUAUAUGAGACGUCAAGUAGCUUACGGUUCGAGCUCAUUUCUUCUAGUUAGUUUUUGCAAAUCUUUGCGUGCCAAAUUAUCAGUUUGCAGCUAGUCUUGUAAUAAAACAAGAUGUAAGCAAAAUGAAUUGUUUUCGAUUUUUCCAAUAGGUCAAUGGUAUCAUCAAUUAUUUUACAAAUUUUUUACAAAGCAUUUCAACCACACGUGUUUUCUCUGAAUUUAAUACGUCGAGAUGAUACUGUCGUGGGAGUGAGGCUGCGCGGAAUCGUUAAGGUAAAUCAGAUUACAUUUUAAUUUACCAAGGAUAUGCAAUACUAAUAGUUCCAUAGGAAGGUUAGGGAACGGGCUUGAUUCAUAAUGUAGCAGAUCAAGGAGAUGGCGAUGUAAGUAAAUGUCAGCAGCAACGACAAUCGCGAAUGAUUAAUUUUGCAAAGUUUUAUUAGCAUCGGAACUGACUUUAUCGACAUGAAUUGGCAAUUAUCAAAUUCACAGAUCACAUUAAGACUUUUUGCUAUAACGAUCAUCGAUAAAAAUAUUUAAUAUCAAGAAUCAGCGAAAUCACUGCUUAUUUCGUAACGUAACGUUAUUGCGUAACGUUGCAAGAAAUAUUAGCAAGUAUGUGCAGUUCUGCAUUCAUGCAUCUUAUCAAUAUUAUUCUUACUCAUAGGAGGAUCCUUGUGGGAGAUACAAGAGGCGGAGUGCAUGUAUCCUCGGAUAUUCGGCCCUGAUGGCGCCUUGGAGGACAGGCGGCUUUGGUUUUCAUCCGUAAGGGUCUAUAGGGGAGCGGGGUACUUCACAUCUACCAAUUUUAUGAGACCUGAAAAGUCUCGAAGUCCUCGCUGACUAGAUCAGCACCCUUAUCAUCGUGUAUUGCGUGGACAGAAAAUCGAAGACCUAUGUCUAGGGAAAAUUCAAACACAUUUCCUCGUUCCAAGAAAGGAUCCAAGGCAUGGCAUGCAGAGGACCUAAAAAUUGGUCUAGACUUAGUUACAAUUCAGCUUUCACUAAAGGCAGACCACUGUGCAAACAAUAAAUAAAAAAGAAUACAUCAUCAAAAUUAGAUUCUUAUUCCAAAUUGGUUGUCAUCAUCAUUAAAUUUAAAUCAGUUGGCGGAGUUCACGUUCCUAUUCCGACGCGUUUUAAAAGUAAUAUAAUAUGUUACGAUAAAGGGGCAUACACACGAGUAAAAUAAAUUAUUUAAUUUUUUGCUAUUGUACAAAUAAUGCUAAAUUACAACGACAAAAAAAUUGCCGUACUUUAAAGAUGUGAACUUGAAAACGUUAAUACGAAUAAACGUGCCACUUAUUGACUCGGUCAGUUUCCGCUACACGUACACGCGAUAUGUUUAAUAUAUUCACAUAUACCGGCACAACCGACUUGAACAAGAUUUAAUUUCUUCGUUUGAAAAAAAUCUCGAGGAUAUCUUCGAGAGACACGAUCUCGAAAGUUCGACCAUACUUUUUUUUUUUAAUUGAACGGCACUUUUCUCCUACCUUCGUUCUCAGAAGCAAGGACGUAAACGCCAUAUUCAUAUCGAUCACGUGAUUGUAAACAGAUUCUCGAAGAUUCGUUCGCCUUCUACAAUUCAGCUAGAUGAUUCACGAGUUAUACUACUAACGUGUUGUCGUUACGGAAUUGUUUCUGCGACUCUAGCAGCCUAGGGGCAUUUCGUAUAUUUGAAUUUAGUAAUUUUCCAGGACCAAAUGUCUAGGUUCUAGUCGAUGACGAAUGGCGUUUCGUUAUUUCUUUGAGCUUAUGAAAUUUGAUACUUUAUGCGCUGUUCGAGUAUUUCAUAGAGGGAAACCAGCACGUGUUAGUCGAAUCAAGAAACUUGGUUAAGAUUGACGUCAUUUCGGGUUUUUCGAAUAAUAUAUGAAUAGUGGAUUAUCCUAAUUUAAAAACUUAAUGUAUGGCAGACCUGAUCUAUGGAAAAGAAAAUGUAAACAUUUAUGAAAAUUUUUCUCUAAUUUGACAAUUUAAAUUCACUAAUUUUUCUAUGGUGUUCGUAAUGACUUUUUACGUAUUUAUGACAAAUAUAAACACAGCUAUCAGAUGUUUUAUGGAAUACGUUAUUGUAUUAGAUUAUUUAAUCCAAAAUCCUCACCGCUACUUUUGGCACUAAGUAGUCCCACACAUGGAUCAUUCACAGCCAUGGCAUAUUACAUCAUUUUAUGAUUAAUAAAAAAUUUUUCAUGUGUCUUAGGAUCUUAACCAUAAAAUUAAAUUGUCAUAGUUUAAUCAAAUUAAUUUUGCGUAAUUUUUUUUACCGAGAUUUGAACAUAAAUGGCUUAGAUUCACCCUAUUGAUAAAUUUUUCGAGAAUACGAAUGGAACCAUCAAUGAGAAUCCUGGAUUAGUAUUUUAUUAUUUAUUGUGAUGGCAAUAAUAUAGCUUCACGUAUAAAUGGCUUUCAGUACUUUGAAUUAUUCGCCAUUUGUUCGGCUUGCUGUAAUUAUUAGCUGUCAAUAUAAUAUUCAUACUUGCAAUUUCUCGGCCAAUCAAUGAAUAGAGGAAUGGAAAAUAUUUUGAAAUGAGGUUUGACAAGUUAUCGCUUAUUUUCUUAAUAAAAGAUACGAUCCUAUCGUUUUUAGCGCAAUAAGUGAAUACAUAAAUACGUGACUAGCUUAUACGGAUUACACAGGUCACUAGACACUGACAGCAUUUGCAUGUUUUCUUGAACGAUUGAGAAUUUUGUUUUGCUCCUUUAAUACGAAGUGACUACAAGUAAUAAUAGGAUAAAGUAAAAGAAAAAAGGGCAGACUGACGUUAAACAGGCAAAGAAGGCAGGGAAUCACAAUAAGAAGUACGUAAUAAAUUUGAUCAGCAGUGGUUCUCCAAUUAUGAAUGAUUAGUUAUAGUCCACGUAGAGAAAAAUUUAAGAUUACACAGAAUCUGUGUUUCUUAGAAUGUCUAUAGCUCAUGGGAACAGCAUGGUUAAAAAUAUUAAUGCACACGUGUAUCGUAUUUGAGUUAGCUUUAACCUUCGAUACUUACGAAGAAAAUUAAAUUUCAUAAAUGAGCCUUGACAUAUUUUUCAAGCUAUAACAAAUAGUACCUAUUGAUAAUCACUGUUGCUGGAGAGGUGAAGAAAGUUUGAAGAAAAAACGAUUAUUUUAUUACGAAGAUUAAUGUAUUCGCAAACUCUCUAGGCCCUUCUUUUCUUGAGUGUCUUAUGACGUCAACUGUGGAAUCCCAAGGCACAAACUAUACCCUAAUAACAACAUGGGAAUACCUCAGAUCCUUUCAGACGAAUCUGUCUAUUAUAGUGUGAUACACCGAAAAAAAAAAAAAACAGAAAGGAUACGGGAAAAAAACAAACUAUUUGAUGAA